rnacentral:rRNA from 1 species
UACGAAGGGGGCUAGCGUUGUUCGGAAUUACUGGGCGUAAAGGGUGCGUAGGCGGCCGUGCAAGUCUGGCGUGAAAGCCCCGGGCUCAGCCCGGGAAGUGCGCUCGAAACUGCGCGGCUCGAGUGCCGGAGGGGAGAGUGGAAUUCCUGGUGUAGCGGUGAAAUGCGUAGAUAUCAGGAGGAAUACCGGUGGCGAAAGCGACUCUCUGGACGGCAACUGACGCUGAGGCACGAAAGCGUGGGGAGCAAACAGG